ACGGGUGAGUAACACGUGAGCAACCUGCCCCGGACUCUGGGAUAACAGUUGGAAACAGCUGCUAAUACCGGAUACGCACCAUACAGGCAUCUGUUGUGGUGGGAAAGAUUUUUUGGUUCGGGAUGGGCUCGCGGCCUAUCAGCUUGUUGGUGAGGUAAUGGCUCACCAAGGCGUCGACGGGUAGCCGGCCUGAGAGGGUGACCGGCCACACUGGGACUGAGACACGGCCCAGACUCCUACGGGAGGCAGCAGUGGGGAAUAUUGCACAAUGGGCGGAAGCCUGAUGCAGCAACGCCGCGUGAGGGAUGACGGCCUUCGGGUUGUAAACCUCUUUUAGCAGGGAAGAAGCGAGAGUGACGGUACCUGCAGAAAAAGCGCCGGCUAACUACGUGCCAGCAGCCGCGGUAAUACGUAGGGCGCAAGCGUUAUCCGGAAUUAUUGGGCGUAAAGAGCUCGUAGGCGGUCUGUCGCGUCUGCUGUGAAAACCCGAGGCUCAACCUCGGGCCUGCAGUGGGUACGGGCAGACUAGAGUGCGGUAGGGGAGAUUGGAAUUCCUGGUGUAGCGGUGGAAUGCGCAGAUAUCAGGAGGAACACCGAUGGCGAAGGCAGAUCUCUGGGCCGUAACUGACGCUGAGGAGCGAAAGGGUGGGGAGCAAACAGGCUUAGAUACCCUGGUAGUCCACCCCGUAAACGUUGGGAACUAGUUGUGGGGACCUUUCCACGGUCUCCGUGACGCAGCUAACGCAUUAAGUUCCCCGCCUGGGGAGUACGGCCGCAAGGCUAAACUUAAAGGAUUGACGGGGACCCGCACAAGCGGCGGAGCAUGCGGAUUAAUUCGAUGCAACGCGAAGAACCUUACCAAGGCUUGACAUAUAGAGGAAAGGUCUGGAAACAGUCCCCCCGCAAGGUCUCUAUACAGGUGGUGCAUGGUUGUCGUCAGCUCGUGUCGUGAGAUGUUGGGUUAAGUCCCGCAACGAGCGCAACCCUCGUUCUAUGUUGCCAGCACGUAAUGGUGGGAACUCAUGGGAUACUGCCGGGGUCAACUCGGAGGAAGGUGGGGAUGACGUCAAAUCAUCAUGCCCCUUAUGUCUUGGGCUUCACGCAUGCUACAAUGGCCGGUACAAAGGGCUGCAAUACCGUGAGGUGGAGCGAAUCCCAAAAAUCCGGUCCCAGUUCGGAUUGAGGUCUGCAACUCGACCUCAUGAAGUCGGAGUCGCUAGUAAUCGCAGAUCAGCAACGCUGCGGGAAUACGUUCCC
rnacentral:rRNA from 1 species